GUCCACAGCCUUUCCACCCUGAGCAAGCCCGAUGUCUGAUCUCGGAAGCUAAGCAGGGUCAGGCCCGGAUAGUACUUGGAUGGGAGACCACCUAGGAAGACCAGGUGCUAUAGUCA
rnacentral:rRNA from 1 species